CUCCGAGUCAGGAGGAGCGUUCCCGCCUCUGGCAGCAGCCGGGGCUGCGCUGAGGCCCCGCAGGCUUCGGCGCGAAAUUACCUCAGAGCGGUAACGGCUGCUGCCCGCGGUUUGCUCGAAGAGGAGAGACGGUUGCUGAAGACUUUGAGGACACUGCUGAAACCUUUACUACUUCCAUGAAAAUCUUGUGACAGUUUGAAUGCUGGCUAUGCAAGUUUGGGUAGAGCACUCUGAAUUAGCUUACGUUAAACAUGACACUGAACACUGCUAUAUUUCACCAAACCUAUUCUACAGUAAGUAUUAUUAUAAUUGGUUUUUGUCUCCCCAUUACCCCAGAAGGAGAAUCCACCAGAUCCGAAUAGCUCUUUAGGCCAUACAUUUUUUCUCUGCUGAGACCUCUACGUUCUUAGAAAUCCUUCUUAUGUAGAAAUCCUACAUAAAUAAUGUAUUUAUUUUUACACCUAAAGCAGCAAAACUAGACCGCUGGUCAACAUUUACUCAUCUGCCACAAUCCAUUUCAUCCACUAGAUCUGUUCUGCUGAGGUCAUUAUACAGUGCUCACACGGGGUUUCUUAGCACACUACAAGUAUUUCACUUUUUAAAAAAUCUGAUUUCUGUUAAAUAGGAUUCCUCCUCAUCCCUAUCCCCACUUUAUACCUAAUUAUUAAAUUCUUUAGAGAUUUUACGUUUUUGUAUACUAUAGUUUUAAAAAUAAAUUGAUGUUCUUGUGUUUACUUUCAUGAUUAAGUGAUUAUGAAUUAGGUUUUGGAGAAUACAGAAUUGGACAAAAAAUACACUCUCACAUCUAAUACAGGGAAGUGGUCUGGGCUACUCCUCCUAUGAGGUCCUGACUUCUGUACAAACAAAUUUAAUCCUGCGUUUUUAGGAAAAUAUCAGAGGAGCAGCUCAGAGGCAGUAUGCUGUGUAAUGAGAGCCCAGGCUUUGAAAACAAGUAUUCUACAGUCAAAAACAUCCCACGGGAGGGGCACUAAUACCACAAGUUGCAGGACCAAUUGUCAUUUAACUAUUAUGUGAUCUCUCUCAUUUGUAAAAUGCAAGAUAUUUGACAUCUGUAGGUAUCCAUAAUGUUAGAGCCAUUAUGUUCUCAUCUACCACAAAGAGCUAUUUUCUUUGCAAAGAGAUAUUUUACUUGCCUUUCUGUGGAGCAUGCUGGGGCUGCUCGGUGUUUUCCCAUGGCCCCCUGGUGGAGCCUGUGCACUUUUGUCAAGUCUUUUCCCUUUAACUACCCUAAGGAUUGCUAGUAUAUUUGUAUGUUGUGAUGCUUUUGGUCCUUUCUGUUGCAACUGAUAUACUGUGCAAUAUUCUGCACUAAAAUACAGUUAGGACUUGCAUGUUUGUACACAAAGACUAAUGUGAUAUUAUUCUGACAGACUAAAAAUUGUAUUACUGGGGCUAGGUCACUAUAAUCAAGACAGCUUAGCGCAUAAUUUUUGUAUUUAUUUGUAUACAAUAUCAAUAACUGCUUUUAUGUUUCUAUUUUUUAAACUUUAAGCAAAACUAUUUGGACCCAAAUUACUUCACAGCACUCCAUCCCAUUAUGUGCAUUAAACAACUCUCCUUUAAAUAUAAAGCUUAUACAAGAAACCCUUCUAGAAGCCUAGCGUUAGCUUUAGUGCAAGAAGUGUGCAGAUGAAUGCAUUUAUUACUAACAAUAUGCAUCUUUCAUUUAACUGUGAUAGCAAAUUAGAUGGUGCAUGCUGUCAGGCAAUGACUGCAGAAAGAAUCCACAAAGCAAAUCAAAUACAAAAUGAAGGACCUUUUUUAGUGAACUCAAAAGGGCAUCUUUAUAUUUAUAGCCUUUGAAAAUAUUCUUCUUCAUCUGAAACUUGAACAGUUAUUUGAAAAAAUAACUUCAGAACAAAGGGAGACAGCACUGAACUUCAGAUAAUUCACGAAAGGUAUAGUGAAAGUCCCAGUAUACAGAUAAAUAUUUCAGCUUUCACAUUGAAAUUGGAUACUAUUCAAGUUGAUUACAUUCAUUUUAUAUUUAGUCAAGAUCCUUACCCAAUCAUUAAAGAAAAGUGUUAGUGUUCGCCCCAGUGCUGCUUGCUCUAUUUCCGUUGCAUGACAUUGAAGCUUCCUAGAAAAAUAUGCGUCAGAGCAUCCAGAUCAGACUCUUUGGCAUCCAGGCCUUAUCAGAGUCGAGAAGAAAAAAGAAAAGGGGACUGAACUUAGGUAUUACAUGCCAAGGAAGAAAAUCUUUUCUACAGAAUAUAUUAAUUGGGCUAAACUCUCAGAACAGCCUUUGAGUCUAUCACUCCCAAGUCACGGAUCUCUUAACAGCAGCACUGCAGCAUACACUAGGGCACCACCAGGCUGCAUAACAGGGCUCCAGCAAGCACCCAUGCUGCUGCGUGAUGCUCCUCACACAUGGCACCAAGCACAGUGCCAGGCCACUGAUGGCCAGAUGACCACUGAUUCUGUGGACCUACUUGCCCCAUGCUCACCCAGACCCAGUUUUUAAAAAUACUUUGCAACACUGGUAUUUCUCCACUUUCAAAGCAAAGCAGAAAUUGAAGCCGCAUGAAGCUAUGAGCACUAAUCUGCCCACAGGGGUCCCAAGUCAGGUACCAUUAAUGGUGACUAUGAAGAAUGUCCAUUUUGAAUUGACUUGUUCAACAUACAGAAAUUGUGUUGCAGAUUAGAUUUCAGUUUACAAGGACAUAUUUAAGUUUUUUUUAAACCUCCAAGCCACUGUCUCCGUUUCUGUAUUAGCUUUCUUCAUACAGAAUAUCAUUUCCUACUUCUGUAAGAAAGGAGCUAGAGAUCUUACAAACAAAAUCUUAAUUUCCUAUCAUUCACUGUUGAUGAGUCCUAAUUCACAACACCGUGAAAUGCCCAUCUCAUGCACUACAACUGCCACAGAAUUGAACCAGAAAUGCCUAUGUGGAUUAUUAUUUAGUCUUGUACAAAUUUCUAAAAAAACACAAAUUGUUUUUUUAACAGUGGUUAUUUUGCUGAUUACUCUACACAGGAGGUACACUAUCUUCUUCAUUCCGUUCUUUAAAAAAUCUGCUAAGUGCUCGUAAAUGCUCUGACCUCCACCACAAAGUUUCUCCUGUAAAAAAAAGAUUUAGUUUGUAGUGUUCUUUCUUUGUGAUGAAUUAAGAACAAUUUUCUUCUCUGAAUGAAAAGGCUGAACAGUAAUGGCAUUUUUAUUGCUUUAAUCGAUGUCAGAUUGAAAAAGAUACCAACACCCAUUCACAAGUUAACAGGGUAGUUAACACAAUUCCCCAUGCUGUAUCUAAAGGGCAAAAGAUGAAGUUUGGGUCCUUCCUUACAGAACACUAGUUUGUUUAUUUCUCUGUUUUAAAAACACAGUAUAAACAAAAAGGAUUUUGAGUAUGAAUAGAAAGAUGAUUUAAUACUUUAGUUUUAGUUUCCUGUAAGGAUGCAAAUAUUGUUUCUCUGAACACAGCAACAAACCUAAUAAACGAUACUACAAAACCAGUACCAUUAGAAAAUCGCGUCAACGCUAAAAGAGGAAAGAAAUCUUUCAUUGAUUCUAAACCCUACAGAAUCACCAUUACUGGGAGGUUCUGCACCAUACUGCAGCACCAUCUCUUCUGCAAUGCAUUUAAGUCUAUUGUUACUGGAAAUCAUCUGUCAGGGCACACAAGCAUCAACCCUGUCUGAACACUGGUGUCAGUCAAGUCCACAGCUCCCGCGCCCUGCAAUCACUCCAAAACAGCAAAGAACAUUCAGGAAGCAGCAGGGUCAAACGUACGGCUUUUUUCACCCUGUCACUGACCUGCCACGCGACCCUGCACAAGACAUUUUACCUUUUCGUGCAUCAGCUCUCUACCAAGGAUUAAUGAUAUUGACAUUCAACUCUGUGACCUACGCACCCAUUACAAAAGUUCUGAACAAAUAUGUUAUUACCUGUUUUUCUGAACUGCAUUCUACACCUCAGGACAGAGCAUUAUGAAAUACUUUCUCUUCCUUCUGCAUAACUGUUUUGAUUAAACAAAAAUUAGAAAGAUAAAUGGCUAUUUAUUUCCAAUUUAAUGCUUUGUAGAUUUGGAGUGGUUACAUUCAUCUUCUUCCUGCCACUUGCCUCUUUCCUUUCAAAAGCAACUCAUACUAAAGCUAAGAGCACAAUCAAAACGUGCUACUGAUGUGUGGUAUUUUACGGAGUUCUCCACAGGACGCCUUACUAUUAUUAACUGAAUGCUGCCUUUCCUAUGAUAAAGAUAUACUUUCAUAAAUGUUAUUCUUCAAUGCUUGAAUAUAAACUACCAAAAGACUUAUUUGUACUUGGACUUCACCUCUACCUUCCUUAUUUUUCAGAAGAAGUUAGUCUCAUUAUACUUUAAUUUACUGCUCUUAUUCUUUUGAAUGCAAGUUAAUUUAUUUUAAAAUUCUGGUUAAAGAAAAGUAUGUUUUUGACAGUAUGCUUCCUAUUCCUUUUUUUUUUUAAAUUUAUUUUUUAAUUUCUCCUAGUAUUUUCAUAUUCUAAUAACUGAUAGGACAUAUUUAAUCCAUAAAUAUGUACGCUGAAUCAAAAAAAACCCACAAUGUCAACAGACGCACACACAGUUGCUUGAGCUGAAUUUGAACAUUCAAUAGUAAGGACUGAACACCUCUUCAGUGGAAGCAAAUUUUUUGUUAAACUUAGUAAAUUAGGCAUAUACAUCAAGAACAGAACAGUCCCCAUAUUUACCUACUCAGAAAUUAGCAAAACCUAUUAGGUAUCAAAAUUGUGAAACAGACCCCCAAGCAGAUGUUCAUUGUCAGUGAAGUACUAAGAUGCUUGUUUGUUCUCUUUUUAAAAUAAAGGUAAAGCUAUAAAUAAUCAAACCAGAGCUCAGAGGGACUGAACUACCAUCUUCUGGACCACACUUAAAACUAGUAAGCUGCACUACUAGUUUCAGUUACUCCUUUAUUACAGAAAAAUAAAUUUAC